AAUUGACGGGGGCCCGCACAAGCGGUGGAGCAUGUGGUUUAAUUCGAUGCAACGCGAAGAACCUUACCUGGUCUUGACAUCCACGGAAGUUUUCAGAGAUGAGAAUGUGCCUUCGGGAACCGUGAGACAGGUGCUGCAUGGCUGUCGUCAGCUCGUGUUGUGAAAUGUUGGGUUAAGUCCCGCAACGAGCGCAACCCUUAUCCUUUGUUGCCAGCGGUCCGGCCGGGAACUCAAAGGAGACUGCCAGUGAUAAACUGGAGGAAGGUGGGGAUGACGUCAAGUCAUCAUGGCCCUUACGACCAGGGCUACACACGUGCUACAAUGGCGCAUACAAAGAGAAGCGACCUCGCGAGAGCAAGCGGACCUCAUAAAGUGCGUCGUAGUCCGGAUUGGAGUCUGCAACUCGACUCCAUGAAGUCGGAAUCGCUAGUAAUCGUGGAUCAGAAUGCCACGGUGAAUACGUUCCCGGGCCUUGUACACACCGCCCGUCACACCAUGGGAGUGGGUUGCAAAAGAAGUAGGUAGCUUAACCUUCGGGAGGGCGCUUACCACUUUGUGAUUCAUGACUGGGGUGAAGUCGUAACAAGGUAACCGUAGGGGAACCUGCGGUUGGAUCACCUCCUUACCUUAAAGAAGC
rnacentral:rRNA from 1 species